AGGGUAUAGACCCGAAACCCGGUGAUCUAGCCAUGGGCAGGUUGAAGGUUGGGUAACACUAACUGGAGGACCGAACCGACUAAUGUUGAAAAAUUAGCGGAUGACCUGUGGCUGGGGGUGAAAGGCCAAUCAAACCGGGAGAUAGCUGGUUCUCCCCGAAAGCUAUUUAGGUAGCGCCUCGUGAAUUCAUCUCCGGGGGUAGAGCACUGUUUCGGCUAGGGGGCCAUCCCGGCUUACCAACCCGAUGCAAACUGCGAAUACCGGAGAAUGUUAUCACGGGAGACACACGGCGGGUGCUAACGUCCGUCGUGAAGAGGGAAACAACCCAGACCGCCAGCUAAGGUCCCAAAGUCAUGGUUAAGUGGGAAACGAUGUGGGAAGGCCCAGACAGCCAGGAUGUUGGCUUAGAAGCAGCCAUCAUUUAAAGAAAGCGUAAUAGCUCACUGGUCGAGUCGGCCUGCGCGGAAGAUGUAACGGGGCUAAACCAUGCACCGAAGCUGCGGCAGCGAACGUAUCACC
rnacentral:rRNA from 1 species